GAUGAACGCUAGCGGCAGGCCUAAUACAUGCAAGUCGAACGAGAUUAAGAGGCUUGCUUCUUAUGAAAGUGGCGCACGGGUGCGUAACGCGUAUGCAACCUACCUUAAUCAGGGGGAUAGCCCGAAGAAAUUCGGAUUAAGACCGCAUAAAAACACAGGAUAGCAUUAUCCAAUGUUCAAAUAUUUAUAGGAUUAAGAUGGGCAUGCGUGUCAUUAGCUAGUUGGCGGGGUAACGGCCCACCAAGGCGACGAUGACUAGGGGAUCUGAGAGGAUGACCCCCCACACUGGUACUGAGACACGGAUCAGACUCCUACGGGAGGCAGCAGUAAGGAAUAUUGGUCAAUGGAGGGAACUCUGAACCAGCCAUGCCGCGUGCAGGAAGACAGCCCUCUGGGUCGUAAACUGCUUUUAUUCGGGAAUAAACCUUUCUACGUGUAGGAAGCUGAAUGUACCGAAGGAAUAAGGAUCGGCUAACUCCGUG
rnacentral:rRNA from 1 species